rnacentral:rRNA from 1 species
CCUGCCCAAUGUUCUUAAAUAGCCGCAGUUUCCUGUGCUAAGGUAGCGCAAUAACUUGCCUUCUAAUUAAAGGAUCGUAUGAAAGGACACAUGACUUUCUUAUUUUCUCAUAUAUUUUAAAAUAAAUUUAACCUACAAGUAAAAAGACUUGUAUUAACAAGAAAGACGACAAGACCCUAUAGAACUUCACUAUUGUUAAACUGGGGUGGUCAACAACAAAAGCUUAUCUUCCCAAACCACACAAAGACCUGAAACUUUCAACAAAGAACAAGUUACCUUAGGGAUAACAGAGUAAUUCCUCUCUAGACCUGUUCCAAAGAGGAGCUUUCUACCUCGAUGUUGAAUUUAAUAUUACUUCAUAAAUAAACAUUAUACAAGUAGGUCUGUUCGACCUUUAAAAUAUUACAU